UGGGGAAUAUUGCACAAUGGGCGCAAGCCUGAUGCAGCCAUGCCGCGUGUGUGAAGAAGGCCUUCGGGUUGUAAAGCACUUUCAGCGAGGAGGAAGGUGGUGAGCUUAAUACGCUCAUCAAUUGACGUUACUCGCAGAAGAAGCACCGGCUAACUCCGUGCCAGCAGCCGCGGUAAUACGGAGGGUGCAAGCGUUAAUCGGAAUUACUGGGCGUAAAGCGCACGCAGGCGGUUUGUUAAGUCAGAUGUGAAAUCCCCGGGCUCAACCUGGGAACUGCAUUUGAAACUGGCAAGCUAGAGUCUCGUAGAAGGGGGUAGAAUUCCAGGUGUAGCGGUGAAAUGCGUAGAGAUCUGGAGGAAUACCGGUGGCGAAGGCGGCCCCCUGGACGAAGACUGACGCUCAGGUGCGAAAGCGUGGGGCAGCAAACAGGAUUAGAUACCCUGGUAGUCCACGCUGUAAACGAUGUCGAUUUUGGAGGUUGUGCCCUUGAGGCGUGGCUUCCGGAGCUAACGCGUUAAAUCGACCGCCUGGGGAGUACGGCCGCAAGGUUAAAACUCAAAUGAAUUGACGGGGUC
rnacentral:rRNA from 1 species